rnacentral:rRNA from 1 species
CACACUGUAAACGAUGGAUACUAGGUGUGGGGGGUCUGACCCCUUCCGUGCCGGAGUUAACACAAUAAGUAUCCCACCUGGGGAGUACGAUCGCAAGAUUGAAACUCAAAGGAAUUGACGGGGACCCGCACAAGCAGUGGAGUAUGUUGUUUAAUUCGACGCAACGCGAAGAACCUUACCAGGGUUUGACAUCUCAGGAAUCCUGUAGAGAUAUGGGAGUGCCCUUCGGGGAGCCUGAAGACAGGUGG